ensembl:lncRNA
AGGUGGUGCUGCCUUGACGUGAGGCCAGUACGAGAGACCAGUACGAGAGACCAGUACGAGAGACCAGUACGAGAGACCAGUACGAGAGACCAGUACGAGAGACCAGUACGAGAGACCAGUACGAGAGACGUAUGGUUAGGAUCACAGAUCAUUUCCCUGAGUGCUGGAUUCACAGCGGACUGAAAACCAUUCCCGUGGUCUUUCGACGGGGAUGCCGAGAGCGAGUGCAAUAAGGAGAAUAUCGGAAGGCAGAAAACAGGCAGAGAGAGAGGAGGGGAGGAGGCAAACGCAGUGGUGGUGCAGCUAUAGAGCCCUAUAUUUGUUUUUGUGGCAUUGAUGCCAUCUGGCCUCAGAGUACAGAGGCCACAUAGUGGGAAAGCAAAUGCCACUGGUCACAGGAGCCGGUGCCAAGCCAUGAACCAUGACGUCAGGUGCAGCCCACACCAACCCUAACGCAGCCGUACGUUCUACUCCUGCAGCCCGCUCCACUCUAUUUUUGGACCUCAUUUCCGGUCCCAAUCUGAUUUAAUUUUUAUUUAAUUUUACUCCCCGAGUUCAAAAACAUCUGUGUAUUGAGACAGAUGGUCAACACUUACACUUUGGACAGCGCAGCAAAUGAGUUAAAAAAGCAUAAUUCAACCGAGGAUUUUAUCCAAAGCGACAUAUGCUGAAUUCAGAAACAAGUAAUUAAGGAGGAGAUAGGGGAUAGCAUGUAGCUCACAGAGUUAGUAGUAGUAGUCGUUGGGGAUCGAACCUGGAAAAUUUGGUUCAAGCACUCUGGCCACUAUGCCAAGUAGCCACGGUCCUCUGAGGCCAAUAGGUAUUAAAGCUAACUGCAGCGAAAUAGACCUUAACUUUUGCGAGUCAGGCAAAUAUUAUUCCACGCUGAAGAAGAUCCCUUCCCUUCGUCCCUCCUUCACCGUGCCCCAGCAUUAACGGCACAAAUGACUUGCGGAAAAUGAGAAACCAACCCUUUAAAUAUCCUGGCUCAUCUGCAGUCUGAUCCAGUCCCACACUUGGUGACUAAUCUCUGUAUCUUCUUUGUUGUUGCUUCGUCACAUGAAAAGCUGCUUAAAUAAAGG